UACGUAGGUGGCAAGCGUUGUCCGGAUUUACUGGGCGUAAAGAGCGCGCAGGCGGUCGUUCAAGUCGCGUGUGAAAGCCCCCGGCUCAACUGGGGAGGGUCACGCGAUACUGAUCGACUCGAAGGCAGGAGAGGGUAGUGGGAAUUCCCGGUGUAGUGGUGAAAUGCGUAGAUAUCGGGAGGAACACCAGUGGCGAAGGCAGCUCGCUGGGACGGUACUGACGCUGAGACGCGAAAGCGUGGGGAGCGAACAGG
rnacentral:rRNA from 1 species